CACGUAGGGACCAAGCGUUGUCCGGAUUUAUUGGGCGUAAAGCGCUCGUAGGCGGUUCGGUAAGUCGGGUGUGAAACCUCUGGGCUCAACUCAGAGACGCCACCCGAUACUGCCGUGACUUGAGUUCGGUAGGGGAGCGGGGAAUUCCUGGUGUAGCGGUGAAAUGCGCAGAUAUCAGGAGGAACACCGGUGGCGAAGGCGCCGCUCUGGGCCGAUACUGACGCUGAGGAGCGAAAGCGUGGGUAGCAAACAGG
rnacentral:rRNA from 1 species